GUGUCAGCCGCCGCGGUAAUACGUAGGGCGCGAGCGUUGUCCGGAAUUAUUGGGCGUAAAGAGCUCGUAGGCGGCUUGUUGCGUCGGAUGUGAAAGCCCGGGGCUUAACUCCGGGUCUGCAUUCGAUACGGGCAGGCUAGAGUUCGGUAGGGGAGAUCGGAAUUCCUGGUGUAGCGGUGAAAUGCGCAGAUAUCAGGAGGAACACCGGUGGCGAAGGCGGAUCUCUGGGCCGAUACUGACGCUGAGGAGCGAAAGCGUGGGGAGCGAACAGGAUUAGAUACCCUGGUAGUCCACGCCGUAAACGUUGGGAACUAGGUGUGGGUGACAUUCCACGUUGUCCGUGCCGCAGCUAACGCAUUAAGUUCCCCGCCUGGGGAGUACGGCCGCAAGGCUAAAACUUAAAUGAAUUGACGGGG
rnacentral:rRNA from 1 species